rnacentral:rRNA from 1 species
CAGUCGCCGCGGGAACACGUAGGGUGCAAGCGUUAAUCGGAAUUACUGGGCGUAAAGCGUGCGCAGGCGGUUUGUUAAGACAGAUGUGAAAUCCCCGGGCUCAACCUGGGAACUGCAUUUGUGACUGGCAAGCUAGAGUGUGGCAGAGGGGGGUGGAAUUCCGCGUGUAGCAGUGAAAUGCGUAGAUAUGCGGAGGAACACCGAUGGCGAAGGCAGCCCCCUGGGCCAACACUGACGCUCAUGCACGAAAGCGUGGGGAGCAAACAGGAUUAGAUACCCCUGUAGUCCCUGUCUCUUAUAC